rnacentral:rRNA from 1 species
CGCACGGGUGAGUAACACGUAUCCAACCUGCCGUCUACUCUUGGACAGCCUUCUGAAAGGAAGAUUAAUACAAGAUGGCAUCAUGAGUUCACAUGUUCACAUGAUUAAAGGUAUUCCGGUAGACGAUGGGGAUGCGUUCCAUUAGAUAGUAGGCGGGGUAACGGCCCACCUAGUCUUCGAUGGGUAGGGGUUCUGAGAGGAAGGUCCCCCACAUUGGAACUGAGACACGGUCCAA